rnacentral:lncRNA from 1 species
UUCCCAAUACAGCUGCAAAAGUCUGUUGCUGCAUUUAAAACACUGCUGCAUUCAAAAGAUGCGAAAAACAAGUUCCCAAUACUGCUCAGAACACUAAUACAUUUAAUUCACAGACAGAUUCCCAAACAGUUGUCCGACAAACUGUGUCAUGUCCAGAAUGACCGACAGUAUUCAAACAAUCAUUGCUGCAGAGAUCUGUCAGCUUUACCAACCUUCGUUAUAUUCUUCUAACAUGUAAAUAGCAAACCGUAAUAACGUGAAUUGAAGCGAAAGAAAGAAACCCUAAAUUGGAGGAUGUUUAUUAUUGGCACUGAUAUCGAGC